rnacentral:rRNA from 1 species
UACGUAGGGGGCUAGCGUUGUCCGGAAUCAUUGGGCGUAAAGCGCGUGUAGGCGGUCCGGUAAGUCCGCUGUGAAAGUCGGGGGCUCAACCCUCGGAUGCCGGUGGAUACUGUCGGGCUUGAGUACGGAAGAGGAGAGUGGAAUUCCCGGUGUAGCGGUGAAAUGCGCAGAUAUCGGGAGGAACACCAAUGGCGAAGGCAGCUCGCUGGGACGGUACUGACGCUGAGGCGCGAAAGCGUGGGGAGCAAACAGG